GACAGAGGGUGCAAACGUUGUUCGGAAUUACUGGGCGUAAAGCGCGUGUAGGCGGUCGGGCAAGUCGGAUGUGAAAGCCCAGGGCUCAACCCUGGAAGUGCACUCGAUACUGCUCGGCUAGAGUCCGGAGAGGAUGGUGGAACUCUCGGUGUAGAGGUGAAAUUCGUAGAUAUCGGGAGGAACACCGGUGGCGAAGGCGGCGACCUGGGUAGAUACUGACGCUGAGGUGCGAAAGCGUGGGGAGCAAACAGG
rnacentral:rRNA from 1 species